rnacentral:rRNA from 1 species
UACGUAGGGUGCGAGCGUUGUCCGGAAUUAUUGGGCGUAAAGAGCUCGUAGGCGGUCUGUCGCGUCGAUCGUGAAAACUUGGGGCUUAACCCUGAGCUUGCGGUCGAUACGGGCAUGACUGGAGUUCGGCAGGGGAGACUGGAAUUCCUGGUGUAGCGGUGAAAUGCGCAGAUAUCAGGAGGAACACCAGUGGCGAAGGCGGCUCACUGGCCCGAUACUGACGCUGAGGCACGAAAGCGUGGGGAGCAAACAGG